rnacentral:rRNA from 1 species
UACGUAGGGGGCAAGCGUUGUCCGGAUUUAUUGGGCGUAAAGAGCGUGUAGGCGGCCGUACAGGUCAGCUGUGAAAACUCGAGGCUCAACCUCGAGACGUCGGUUGAAACCGUACGGCUAGAGUCCGGAAGAGGAGAGUGGAAUUCCCGGUGUAGCGGUGAAAUGCGCAGAUAUCGGGAAGAACACCCAUGGCGAAGGCAGCUCUCUGGGACGGUACUGACGCUGAGACGCGAAAGCGUGGGGAGCGAACAGG